rnacentral:rRNA from 1 species
AGUGGGGAAUAUUGGACAAUGGGGGCAACCCUGAUCCAGCGACGCCGCGUGUGUGAAGAAGGCCUGCGGGUUGUAAAGCACUUUUAGUGGGGAUGAAAAGCACAUUGCUAAUACCAGUGUGUCUUGACCUAACCCAAAGAAAAAGCACCGGCUAACUCUGUGCCAGCAGCCGCGGUAAUACAGAGGGUGCGAGCGUUAAUCGGAAUUACUGGGCGUAAAGCGUGCGUAGACGGUUAUUUAAGUCGGGUGUGAAAGCCCCGGGCUCAACCUGGGAAUUGCAUUCGAGACUGAAUAGCUAGGGUACGGUAGAGGGAAGUGGAAUUUCCGGUGUAGCGGUGAAAUGCGUAGAUAUCGGAAGGAACAUCAGUGGCGAAAGCGACUUCCUGGACCAGUACCGACGUUCAGGCACGAAAGCGUGGGGAGCAAA